CUAGUUCUUACUUCUUGUAUCAGAUCACUAAUUAUUAAUUCUUUAAAGUGAUUGUGGACAUACCUCCAUUCUCUUGGAAAAUUAUCUGUCUUGAGGUCGUUCUUAAAUAUUCUGAUCAUUGAUGCUUUUAUCCUCAUGCUUUUCGUCCAAUUGAUUUUUUUUUUGCUCAUUUGAGUCAUUGAGGAUGAACUCUUUCAUUCCAUC
rnacentral:lncRNA from 1 species